UUUCCGUAGGUGAACCUGCGGAAGGAUCAUUACUGAGUGAGGGCCCCUCGGGGUCCAACCUCCCACCCGUGUUUAACGAACCUUGUUGCUUCGGCGGGCCCGCCUCACGGCCGCCGGGGGGCAUCUGCCCCCGGGCCCGCGCCCGCCGAAGCCACCUGUGAACGCUGUCUGAAGUAUGCAGUCUGAGACAGUUAUUAAAUUAAUUAAAACUUUCAACAACGGAUCUCUUGGUUCCG
rnacentral:misc_RNA from 1 species